CGCGGGGUUUGAACCCACAACCGUUGAGCCGAAACCUGGUGCUUAACCUGCGGAGCCACCCUGGCGCCCCGACACUCACCUAAUUCUUAAAUGCAUUCCUCUUUUGAAAAACCUCCAGCUUAAUCCUCUGUUGAAAGGAGGUGUGAGCCCGCCUCUCACCAAAAGAACCUGCUGAUUGGGAAGCAGCGCCACCUGGUGGGGGAGGAGGAGGAUGCAAGCAAAUGGACGUUCCUUCCCACUGACCUAAUUUAGAGAAAAUUGAACGUAAGACAGAAAACAUUUGCGAUUGUAAGCCUGUGAGAAACGCAGGCAGCUGGCCAUAAAGGUAUCUUGAACAGUC